rnacentral:rRNA from 1 species
UACGGGGGGGGCAAGCGUUGUUCGGAAUUACUGGGCGUAAAGGGUCUGUAGGUGGCUUGCUAAGUCAGACGUGAAAUCCCUCGGCUUAACCGGGGAACUGCGUCUGAUACUGGCGAGCUUGAGUGCAGGAGAGGAACGCGGAAUUCCAGGUGUAGCGGUGAAAUGCGUAGAUAUCUGGAGGAACACCGGUGGCGAAGGCGACGUUCUGGACUGCAACUGACACUGAGAGACGAAAGCGUGGGGAGCAAACAGG